UGAGGAAUAUUGGGCAAUGCCCGCAAGGGUGACCCAGCAACGCCGCGUGGAGGCUGAAUGUCGUAAGAUUGUAAACUCCUGUUAGAGGGGAAGAAUAGUACCGGUUGGAUCGGUAUAUGACUGUACCCUCAGAGAAAGCCCCGGCUAACUACGUGCCAGCAGCCGCGGUAAUACGUAGGGGGCAAGCGUUGUCCGGAUUUACUGGGUGUAAAGGGCGCGCAGGCGGGAUAAAAAGUCAGUGGUGAAAUCCUACAGCUUAACUGUAGAACUGCCUUUGAUACUUUUAUUCGUGAGUUCGGGAGAGAGAGACGGAAUUCCAGGUGUAGUGGUGAAAUACGUAGAUAUCUGGAAGAACACCAGUUGCGAAGGCGGUCUCUUGGUCCGACACUGACGCUGAGGCGC
rnacentral:rRNA from 1 species